rnacentral:rRNA from 1 species
GACGAACGCUGGCGGCGUGCUUAACACAUGCAAGUCGAACGGCAAGGCCCUGCUUUUUUGGUGUUCUCGAGUGGCGAACGGGUGCGUAACACGUGAGUAUCCUGCUCUUGACUUUGGGAUAACUUCAGGAAACUGGGGCUAAUACCGGAUCGGAUCUCCUGCUGCAUUGUGGGGGUUGGAUCGUUUCGGCGGUUGGGGAUGGACUCGCGGCUUACCGGCUUGUUGGUGGGGUAGUGGCUUACCAAGGCUGUGACGGGUAGGCGGCCUGAGAGGGUGACCGGCCACAUUGGGACUGAGAUAGGGCCCAGACUCCUACGGGAGGCAGCAGUGGGGAAUAUGGCACAGUGGGCGGAAGCCUGAGGAAGAAACGCCGCGUGCGGGAUGACGGCCUUCGGGGUGUAAAACGCUUUCGCUUGUGACGAAGCGGGAGUGACGGUAAUGGGUAAAGAAGCACCGGCUAACUACGUG